UACGUAGGGUGCAAGCGUUAAUCGGAAUUACUGGGCGUAAAGCGUGCGUAGGCGGCUUUGCAAGACAGAUGUGAAAUCCCCGGGCUUAACCUGGGAACUGCAUUUGUGACUGCAUGGCUGGAGUGCGGCAGAGGGGGAUGGAAUUCCGCGUGUAGCAGUGAAAUGCGUAGAUAUGCGGAGGAACACCGAUGGCGAAGGCAAUCCCCUGGGCCUGCACUGACGCUCAUGCACGAAAGCGUGGGGAGCAAACAGG
rnacentral:rRNA from 1 species